AGAUUGAACGCUGGCGGCAUGCCUAACACAUGCAAGUCGAACGGGAGUAGCAAUACUCUAGUGGCGGACGGGUGAGGAAUACGUAGGAAUUUGCCCUUAAGUGGGGGAUAACCCGGGGAAACCCGGAUUAAUACCGCAUGACCUCGAAAGAGCAAAGUGGGGGAUCGCAAGACCUCACGCUUUUGGAGAAGCCUACGUCGGAUUAGCUAGUUGGUGAGGUAAUGGCUCACCAAGGCGACGAUCCGUAACUGGUCUGAGAGGAUGAUCAGUCACACCGGAACUGAGACACGGUCCGGACUCCGUACGGGAGCAGCAGUGGGAAUAUGGACAAGUGGGCGCAAGCCUGACUCCAGCAAUCGACCGCGUUGUGGUAGAAGGAAGGCCUUAGGGUUAGUAAA
rnacentral:rRNA from 1 species